rnacentral:sRNA from 1 species
UUCCGUUUCCUCCUGCCCCACCACCGCUGCUCCUCAGCAGGCGCCUCACCAGCCUCCACACCCCUUGUGCCCGCAGAAACGCGCCUGGCCCUGAGCUGUCACCACCGACACUCUCCAGGCUCCGGACACGAUGCAGGCCAUCAAGUGUGUGGUGGUGGGAGAUGGGGCCGUGGGCAAGACCUGCCUUCUCAUCAGCUACACCACCAACGCCUUUCCCGGAGAGUACAUCCCCACCGUGUUUGACAACUAUUCAGCCAAUGUGAUGGUGGACAGCAAGCCAGUGAACCUGGGGCUGUGGGACACUGCUGGGCAGGAGGACUACGACCGUCUCCGGCCGCUCUCCUAUCCACAGACGGUGUGCUGCUCCCACCUGCCUUGCAGUCCUGACCUUUGCUGUCUCUGUUCCCUCUGCUUGGGAUGCCCUUCCAGCCAGCUCAGCCUGGGAAACUCUACCUCUCCCCUUAAGGCCCAGCUCAGGGAGUCUGCCUGCCUUGCAUGUCCCAGGCAGAGAAGGGCUUCCUCUUGCACUCCCCCAGCCCUGCAUUGGUUCCCGGUCCUCAAUGUGCCCAUCUUCCCACCCCAUUGCCUCCUGGGCUCUGGCACCCCCUGUUUCCAGUGGUGGGGCAGGUGGAUUCUGCACAGCGCCCCGGGAGGCAGCCCGGGAUGGUGAGCCCUGGGAGUGCUGGGGGAGGGGAGAGGUGGAGGAUGCCUGCAGGUGGCUGCUGGGUCCUCGCCCUUCCUCCAGGGUAUGC